AACGAACGCUGGCGGCGUGGAUAAGACAUGCAAGUCGGACGAGAUUUUUCGUUGUAGCAAUAUGAUGGAAAGUCUAGUGGCGAACGGGUGCUUAACACGUGGGCAACCUGCCAGGAAGUGGGGGAUAGCUCGCCGAAAGGCGAAUUAAUACCGCAUGUGACUAGAGAGGACAUCCUUUCGAAAUUAAAGUCGGGGCAACCUGACGCUUCUUGUGGGGCCCGCGGCCUAUCAGCUAGUUGGAGAGGUAAUGGCUCACCAAGGCUUUGACGGGUAGCUGGUCUGAGAGGACGACCAGCCACACUGGGACUGAGACACGGCCCAGACACCUACGGGUGGCAGCAGUCGAGAAUUUUUGACAAUGGGGGAAACCCUGAUCGAGCGACGCCGCGUGGAGGAUGAAGGUCUUCGGAUUGUAAACUCCUGUCAUUGGGGAACAAGGUGCAUACGUUAACUGCGUGUGCAUUGAUAGUACCCGAAGAGGAAGAGACGGCUAACUCUGUGCCAGCCGCCGCAGUAACAC
rnacentral:rRNA from 1 species